rnacentral:rRNA from 1 species
UACGGAGGGUGCGAGCGUUGUCCGGAAUCACUGGGCGUAAAGGGCGCGUAGGCGGCCUGAUAAGUAGGGGGUGAAAUCCUGCGGCUUAACCGCAGGGCUGCCUUCUAAACUGUCAGGCUCGAGCACAGUAGAGGCAGGCGGAAUUCCGGGUGUAGCGGUGGAAUGCGUAGAGAUCCGGAAGAACACCGGUGGCGAAGGCGGCCUGCUGGGCAGUAGCUGACACUGAGGCGCGACAGCGUGGGGAGCAAACAGG